AGAGUUUGAUCCUGGCUCAGGAUGAACGCUAGCGACAGGCUUAACACAUGCAAGUCGAGGGGCAGCGGGGGUAGCAAUACCCGCCGGCGACCGGCGCACGGGUGAGUAACGCGUAUGCAACUUACCUAUCAGAGGGGGAUAACCCGGCGAAAGUCGGACUAAUACCGCAUGAAGCAGGGGCCCCGCAUGGGGAUAUUUGCUAAAGAUUCAUCGCUGAUAGAUAGGCAUGCGUUCCAUUAGGCAGUUGGCGGGGUAACGGCCCACCAAACCGACGAUGGAUAGGGGUUCUGAGAGGAAGGUCCCCCACAUUGGUACUGAGACACGGACCAAACUCCUACGGGAGGCAGCAGUGAGGAAUAUUGGUCAAUGGGCGUAAGCCUGAACCAGCCAAGUCGCGUGAGGGAUGAAGGUUCUAUGGAUCGUAAACCUCUUUUAUAAGGGAAUAAAGUGCGGGACGUGUCCCGUUUUGUAUGUACCUUAUGAAUAAGGAUCGGCUAACUCCGUGCCAGCAGCCGCGGUAAUACGGAGGAUCCGAGCGUUAUCCGGAUUUAUUGGGUUUAAAGGGUGCGUAGGCGGCCUUUUAAGUCAGCGGUGAAAGUCUGUGGCUCAACCAUAGAAUUGCCGUUGAAACUGGGAGGCUUGAGUAUGUUUGAGGCAGGCGGAAUGCGUGGUGUAGCGGUGAAAUGCAUAGAUAUCACGCAGAACCCCGAUUGCGAAGGCAGCCUGCCAAGCCAUGACUGACGCUGAUGCACGAAAGCGUGGGGAUCAAACAGGAUUAGAUACCCUGGUAGUCCACGCAGUAAACGAUGAUCACUAGCUGUUUGCGAUACACUGUAAGCGGCACAGCGAAAGCGUUAAGUGAUCCACCUGGGGAGUACGCCGGCAACGGUGAAACUCAAAGGAAUUGACGGGGGCCCGCACAAGCGGAGGAACAUGUGGUUUAAUUCGAUGAUACGCGAGGAACCUUACCCGGGUUUGAACGCAUUCGGACCGAGGUGGAAACACCUUUUCUAGCAAUAGCCGUUUGCGAGGUGCUGCAUGGUUGUCGUCAGCUCGUGCCGUGAGGUGUCGGCUUAAGUGCCAUAACGAGCGCAACCCUUGCCACUAGUUACUAACAGGUAAAGCUGAGGACUCUGGUGGGACUGCCAGCGUAAGCUGCGAGGAAGGCGGGGAUGACGUCAAAUCAGCACGGCCCUUACAUCCGGGGCGACACACGUGUUACAAUGGCGUGGACAAAGGGAAGCCACCUGGCGACAGGGAGCGAAUCCCCAAACCACGUCUCAGUUCGGAUCGGAGUCUGCAACCCGACUCCGUGAAGCUGGAUUCGCUAGUAAUCGCGCAUCAGCCAUGGCGCGGUGAAUACGUUCCCGGGCCUUGUACACACCGCCCGUCAAGCCAUGGGAGCCGGGGGUACCUGAAGUCCGUAACCGCGAGGAUCGGCCUAGGGUAAAACUGGUGACUGGGGCUAAGUCGUAACAAGGUA
rnacentral:rRNA from 1 species